rnacentral:rRNA from 1 species
UACGGAGGGGGCUAGCGUUGUUCGGAAUUACUGGGCGUAAAGCGCACGUAGGCGGCUUUGUAAGUUAGAGGUGAAAGCCCGGGGCUCAACUCCGGAAUUGCCUUUAAGACUGCAUCGCUAGAAUUGUGGAGAGGUAAGUGGAAUUCCGAGUGUAGAGGUGAAAUUCGUAGAUAUUCGGAAGAACACCAGUGGCGAAGGCGACUUACUGGACACAUAUUGACGCUGAGGUGCGAAAGCGUGGGGAGCGAACAGG